rnacentral:rRNA from 1 species
GGGUUGUGAGGUUAAGCGACUAAGCGUACACGGUGGAUGCCCUGGCAGUCAGAGGCGAUGAAGGACGUGCUAAUCUGCGAUAAGCGUCGGUAAGGUGAUAUGAACCGUUAUAACCGGCGAUUUCCGAAUGGGGAAACCCAGUGUGAUUCGUCACACUAUCAUUAACUGAAUCCAUAGGUUAAUGAGGCGAACCGGGGGAACUGAAACAUCUAAGUACCCCGAGGAAAAGAAAUCAACCGAGAUUCCCCCAGUAGCGGCGAGCGAACGGGGAGCAGCCCAGAGCCUGAAUCAGUGUGUGUGUUAGUGGAAGCGUCUGGAAAGGCGCGCGAUACAGGGUGACAGCCCCGUACACAAAAAUGCACAUACUGUGAGCUCGAUGAGUAGGGCGGGACACGUGGUAUCCUGUCUGAAUAUGGGGGGACCAUCCUCCAAGGCUAAAUACUCCUGACUGACCGAUAGUGAACCAGUACCGUGAGGGAAAGGCGAAAAGAACCCCGGCGAGGGGAGUGAAAAAGAACCUGAAACCGUGUACGUACAAGCAGUGGGAGCCUCUUUAUGGGGUGACUGCGUACCUUUUGUAUAAUGGGUCAGCGACUUAUAUUCUGUAGCAAGGUUAACCGAAUAGGGGAGCCGAAGGGAAACCGAGUCUUAACUGGGCGUUAAGUUGCAGGGUAUAGACCCGAAACCCGGUGAUCUAGCCAUGGGCAGGUUGAAGGUUGGGUAACACUAACUGGAGGACCGAACCGACUAAUGUUGAAAAAUUAGCGGAUGACUUGUGGCUGGGGGUGAAAGGCCAAUCAAACCGGGAGAUAGCUGGUUCUCCCCGAAAGCUAUUUAGGUAGCGCCUCGUGAAUUCAUCUCCGGGGGUAGAGCACUGUUUCGGCAAGGGGGUCAUCCCGACUUACCAACCCGAUGCAAACUGCGAAUACCGGAGAAUGUUAUCACGGGAGACACACGGCGGGUGCUAACGUCCGUCGUGAAGAGGGAAACAACCCAGACCGCCAGCUAAGGUCCCAAAGUCAUGGUUAAGUGGGAAACGAUGUGGGAAGGCCCAGACAGCCAGGAUGUUGGCUUAGAAGCAGCCAUCAUUUAAAGAAAGCGUAAUAGCUCACUGGUCGAGUCGGCCUGCGCGGAAGAUGUAACGGGGCUAAACCAUGCACCGAAGCUGCGGCAGCGACACUAUGUGUUGUUGGGUAGGGGAGCGUUCUGUAAGCCUGUGAAGGUGUGCUGUGAGGUAUGCUGGAGGUAUCAGAAGUGCGAAUGCUGACAUAAGUAACGAUAAAGCGGGUGAAAAGCCCGCUCGCCGGAAGACCAAGGGUUCCUGUCCAACGUUAAUCGGGGCAGGGUGAGUCGACCCCUAAGGCGAGGCCGAAAGGCGUAGUCGAUGGGAAACAGGUUAAUAUUCCUGUACUUGGUGUUACUGCGAAGGGGGGACGGAGAAGGCUAUGUUGGCCGGGCGACGGUUGUCCCGGUUUAAGCGUGUAGGCUGGUUUUCCAGGCAAAUCCGGAAAAUCAAGGCUGAGGCGUGAUGACGAGGCACUACGGUGCUGAAGUAACAAAUGCCCUGCUUCCAGGAAAAGCCUCUAAGCAUCAGGUAACAUCAAAUCGUACCCCAAACCGACACAGGUGGUCAGGUAGAGAAUACCAAGGCGCUUGAGAGAACUCGGGUGAAGGAACUAGGCAAAAUGGUGCCGUAACUUCGGGAGAAGGCACGCUGAUAUGUAGGUGAAGUCCCUUGCGGAUGGAGCUGAAAUCAGUCGAAGAUACCAGCUGGCUGCAACUGUUUAUUAAAAACACAGCACUGUGCAAACACGAAAGUGGACGUAUACGGUGUGACGCCUGCCCGGUGCCGGAAGGUUAAUUGAUGGGGUUAGCGGUAACGCGAAGCUCUUGAUCGAAGCCCCGGUAAACGGCGGCCGUAACUAUAACGGUCCUAAGGUAGCGAAAUUCCUUGUCGGGUAAGUUCCGACCUGCACGAAUGGCGUAAUGAUGGCCAGGCUGUCUCCACCCGAGACUCAGUGAAAUUGAACUCGCUGUGAAGAUGCAGUGUACCCGCGGCAAGACGGAAAGACCCCGUGAACCUUUACUAUAGCUUGACACUGAACAUUGAGCCUUGAUGUGUAGGAUAGGUGGGAGGCUUUGAAGUGUGGACGCCAGUCUGCAUGGAGCCGACCUUGAAAUACCACCCUUUAAUGUUUGAUGUUCUAACGUUGGCCCCUGAUCGGGGUUGCGGACAGUGUCUGGUGGGUAGUUUGACUGGGGCGGUCUCCUCCUAAAGAGUAACGGAGGAGCACGAAGGUUGGCUAAUCCUGGUCGGACAUCAGGAGGUUAGUGCAAUGGCAUAAGCCAGCUUGACUGCGAGCGUGACGGCGCGAGCAGGUGCGAAAGCAGGUCAUAGUGAUCCGGUGGUUCUGAAUGGAAGGGCCAUCGCUCAACGGAUAAAAGGUACUCCGGGGAUAACAGGCUGAUACCGCCCAAGAGUUCAUAUCGACGGCGGUGUUUGGCACCUCGAUGUCGGCUCAUCACAUCCUGGGGCUGAAGUAGGUCCCAAGGGUAUGGCUGUUCGCCAUUUAAAGUGGUACGCGAGCUGGGUUUAGAACGUCGUGAGACAGUUCGGUCCCUAUCUGCCGUGGGCGCUGGAGAACUGAGGGGGGCUGCUCCUAGUACGAGAGGACCGGAGUGGACGCAUCACUGGUGUUCGGGUUGUCAUGCCAAUGGCACUGCCCGGUAGCUAAAUGCGGAAGAGAUAAGUGCUGAAAGCAUCUAAGCACGAAACUUGCCCCGAGAUGAGUUCUCCCUGACCCUUUAAGGGUCCUGAAGGAACGUUGAAGACGACGACGUUGAUAGGCCGGGUGUGUAAGCGCAGCGAUGCGUUGAGCUAACCGGUACUAAUGAACCGUGAGGCUUAACCUUACAACGCCGAAG